AGUGAACGCUGGCGGUAGGCCUAACACAUGCAAGUCGAACGGCAGCACAGUAAGAGCUUGCUCUUACGGGUGGCGAGUGGCGGACGGGUGAGGAAUACAUCGGAAUCUACUUUUUCGUGGGGGAUAACGUAGGGAAACUUACGCUAAUACCGCAUACGACCUACGGGUGAAAGCAGGGGAUCUUCGGACCUUGCGCGAUUGAAUGAGCCGAUGUCGGAUUAGCUAGUUGGCGGGGUAAAGGCCCACCAAGGCGACGAUCCGUAGCUGGUCUGAGAGGAUGAUAAGCCACCUGGAACUGGGAAAAGGGUCCAGACCCCAAGGGGGGGAAGCGGGGGGAAAUUUUGGAAAAGGGGGGAAACCCGGAACCACCCAACCCGGGGGGGGGAAGAAGGCCUUGGGGUUUAAAAGCCUUUUUGUGGGGAAAAAAAAGAAGCAGGUAAAAACCCCGCUUUUCGGGGGGAACCAAAAAAAUAACCACGGGCUAAUUUCGU
rnacentral:rRNA from 1 species